UACGUAGGGUGCAAGCGUUGUCCGGAAUUAUUGGGCGUAAAGAGCUCGUAGGCGGUCUGUCGCGUCGGCUGUGAAAACCCGGAGCUCAACUCCGGGCCUGCAGUCGAUACGGGCAAACUGGAGUGUUGCAGGGGAGACUGGAAUUCCUGGUGUAGCGGUGAAAUGCGCAGAUAUCAGGAGGAACACCGGUGGCGAAGGCGGGUCUCUGGGCAAUAACUGACGCUGAGGAGCGAAAGCGUGGGGAGCAAACAGG
rnacentral:rRNA from 1 species